UGAGGAAUAUUGGGCUAUGGGCGCAAGCCUGACCCAGCGACGCCGCGUGUGGGAUGAAGGCCUUCGGGUUGUAAACCACUGUCAACGGGGAGGAAAUGCAGGAGGGUACUCCCUCCUGUUUGACCUAUCUGUGGAGGAAGUACGGGCUAAGUUCGUGCCAGCCGCCGCGGUAAGACGAAGCGUACAAACGUUAUUCGGAAUCACUGGGCUUAAAGGGAGCGUAGGCUGCGCGGUAAGUUGGGUUUGAAA
rnacentral:rRNA from 1 species